rnacentral:ncRNA from 1 species
UACAGUUUGCUGAACAAGAGAGUAAUUGUAUAAAUCUGAUCAAAGCGAGUUUGGAGCUGGUGGAAGCCAAACGAAGAAAAUACAAUGAAGCGCACUUGGAGAACUCUGUCUGAGACAGACGGUCAUCUGCCGUUAACAGAUAAAGUGGGUCCUAAAGAAUAGGACAAUUGGAGUGGUACCGCGGGAUAACUCGUCUCUAGU